CUGUGAUCCCAGCUCCUGAUGUGAGAUGGUGACUGUAGUUCCCCGGCUUUGUCAUAGCUUGAUUCUUGCUCUUACGUUUAUGCAUAAACAUGAACGGCUGCAGAGCCAGGACGUGAGAUCAGCCUCGAGGAGAUGAGAAAGACCCAGCCAAUGGCCAUCAAAAAAACAAAAAAAGAAGAAUCCUCCAGCUGAAGGAAUUGGAUUCUUCCAACAACUGGAGUGACCUUGCAGGAGGACCUGGGGCCCUACGUGUGCCCACAGCCCGGCCAGCACCUUGUUUUGCCAGAGGAUCUUGCUAACCCUCAUGCGGACUUCCGACUACAGGAAACAGAGGCAAGGUGGUGCUGCUUCAAGCUCCUGUGUCUGUGCUGACUGCUGUCCGGGAUGGAAUGAACACACUUCCGCUCUUCCACCCGACCUCCCUCUGCAGAGGAGCCCCAACGCAGCUCUGCUGUUCACCAUUCCCGAGCACGCUCUGUACCUUCACUGCAUAUUUAUGUGACCAUGAAAGUUACGCAGUACUGGCUUUAGAUAUUAAAUCCGCCUGCGGGACCCUGUGCAUAGCAUUCUGCACCUGCUGUGGUUGCUCAACAGCGUACUCAGCUCCACAGCCCCGGGAGAGACGCGCCUGCCGUCCACUCAUCUCCAUGGCUGACUAAAAUCCCUGAGACGAGGGUUUCCAGCCACUCACCACCACUGCAGAUGUCAAAGCCGCCCUGACAAAUGUUGUGUAGAUGUUCGGGUUAUUGCACCUUCCUGAUGGAUAGGAAGUUCUAGCCAUGUGCACUAUCAUCCUCUUUGUACAUUUUGUUGCUUUUCCUCUUGAAUUCUCACUUGCCCCAUGAUGAAGGUGUCUGUAAUCAUUCCUGACAUCUGACUUUAUGCUCCUGCGAACAGCCCAUCCUCCCUUGAGUUUAUUCCUCCCAUCCAUACAAUCUACUGGCUUGGCAGCGUUUUCUUAGUUUCAUUUUCCCUUCUUUUGGCUCUCUGGGAGUCACACAAAGAUGGCCAGUACCAGUGGGGUUUUUUUGGUUUUGCUUUUGUUUUCUUUUGGUACCGGGGAUCAAACUCGGGUCCUUGUGCUUGCGCAGCAGGUGGUGAAACCACUGAGGUAAAUCCCCGGCCCCCACCAGUGGGUUUUUAACACACUAACCUCUGAUGGCAUAAACCAUGUUACUUAGACCCCUUAGAUCCGUCUCUUCCUGCCUGUCUCCCUUUUGCUGAACCCCUGCCUGGGCUCAGCUCUGCCCAGUACACAGGGCUGCAGGGCUGGGCGAGGGAGAGGGGCAUGGGAACUCAGUGGUCCCCAAGGCCUCAGUCUGAGCUCUGCCUGGGUACAAAGUCCCCCGAGGGCCCUGCUGCCCCAGGGAGCAGCCUCUUGGGGUCCUGGACACAUCUCUGGGACCACCCCUCCCCCAGGUACCAGAGCCCUGCUCCAACUCUGCCUCUUCUAGCUGCCUAAGAAACUCAGUGUAGGAGAAAAUAUUUAUCUUGGCUCACGGUGUCAGACAUUUCAGUCCAUGGUUGGCUGGCUCCAUUGUGUCUGAGCUGGCAGGGAGGGGUUGGUGGCACAAAGCUGCCCACCUGUCAGGGAGCAGAGGAGGUGGGACAAAAGUGGGACCUUUGAAGCCCCACCCCCAGGGACCUACUUCCUCCAACCAUGGCCCUCCUCCUCGAGAUUGCCCCAUCUCCUGACAGCGCCACGGGCUGGCACCAAGCCUUUAGCACACAGCUUUCAAGGGACUUUUUGUUUGUUUGUUUUGUUUUUUGAGACAGGGUCUCGCUAUGUAGUCCAGGCUGGCCUCAAACCCAUGGUGAUCCUCCUGCCCCAGCCUGAGGAACACUG
rnacentral:lncRNA from 1 species